rnacentral:rRNA from 1 species
UGUGAAUUGCAGAAUUCAGUGAAUCAUCGAAUCUUUGAACGCACCUUGCGCCCUUCGGUAUUCCGAGGGGCAUGCCUGUUUGAGUGUCAUUAAAUACCAUCAACCCUCUUUUGACUUCGGUCUCGAGAGUGGCUUGGAAGUGGAGGUCUUGCUGGAGCCUAACGGAUCCA